rnacentral:rRNA from 1 species
AUUGGGCGUAAGAGCUCGUAGGCGGUUUGUCGCGUCUGCCGUGAAAGUCCGGGGCUCAACUCCGGAUCUGCGGUGGGUACGGGCAGACUAGAGUGAUGUAGGGGAGACUGGAAUUCCUGGUGUAGCGGUGAAAUGCGCAGAUAUCAGGAGGAACACCGAUGGCGAAGGCAGGUCUCUGGGCAUUAACUGACGCUGAGGAGCGAAAGCAUGGGGAGCGAACAGGAUUAGAUACCCUGGUAGUCCAUGCCGUAAACGUUGGGCACUAGGUGUGGGGGACAUUCCACGUUUUCCGCGCCGUAGCUAACGCAUUAAGUGCCCCGCCUGGGGAGUACGGCCGCAAGGCUAAAACUCAAAGGAAUUGACGGGGGCCCGCACAAGCGGCGGAGCAUGCGGAUUAAUUCGAUGCAACGCGAAGAACCUUACCAAGGCUUGACAUGAACCGGUAAUACCUGGAAACAGGUGCCCCGCUUGCGGUCGGUUUACAGGUGGUGCAUGGUUGUCGUCAGCUCGUGUCGUGAGAUGUUGGGUUAAGUCCCGCAACGAGCGCAACCCUCGUUCUAUGUUGCCAGCACGUGAUGGUGGGGACUCAUAGGAGACUGCCGGGGUCAACUCGGAGGAAGGUGGGGACGACGUCAAAUCAUCAUGCCCCUUAUGUCUUGGGCUUCACGCAUGCUACAAUGGCCGGUACAAAGGGUUGCGAUACUGUGAGGUGGAGCUAAUCCCAAAAAGCCGGUCUCAGUUCGGAUUGGGGUCUGCAACUCGACCCCAUGAAGUCGGAGUCGCUAGUAAUCGCAGAUCAGCAACGCUGCGGUGAAUACGUUCCCGGGCCUUGUACACACCGCCCGUCAAGUCACGAAAGUUGGUAACACCCGAAGCCGGUGGCCUAACCCCUUGUGGGAGGGAGCUGUCGAAGUGGGACUGGCGAUUGAGGACGAAGUCG